GUUGGGAUUUUAACCCUUUCGGCACCACAGGUUGCCUUGCCUAAUCCUUUCUCAUUUCGUUUUUUAACAGUGUGUCCACGGUGUAGAGCGGUGAAAUGGAAUAUUUGCCUCCCCUGUAUUCAAAAGCACAGUUUAUGCCUGAACUACAAAUGCAGAGGAAGAAACUGAAACCUUUUUUACAAGUGUCCAGGAAGAAAUUGAUCACACACCUAAACAAGAUGUGCUGAUGAUCACAGCAAAAUGGUUGAGGAUAAAUACGAUCAGAUGUAUCAAAUGGAUUUUUGUUCAACUCAUAUUUUUUACAAGCGGGCAUGAAACAUGUGAAAUCACUGCAUGCAGCAGCUCCUGUGGCAGAAGAAUGCGCAAAACCUACACAGCAUAAUAGCUGGUUUUAUUCAAGACGGCACCACAAGAGCACUUUGCUUUCCAGUGUCCUGCAGCUACAUCCUGUUCAGAGAAGUAUUGGGUUUACAUACUGUGCCCAAGCAUUUAUAUUUAUUCGAUUGGUCUUCAGCAAUGGAACUUGACCCAAAGUCAAACCACAACUUUAGCAUUAGUGGUUGUACCAGUCCACAACCGUGCUACUUUUCAAAGACAAGGACAAAUAUAGGGGACAACAGAGGAAACAGGAGAAGGGCAGGAAGAGAGACAGAAGGAGAAAGAGAAAGGAAAAAAGUGAGUGAGUGAAAGAGAAGAUGGACAUAUGUGGAAAAUAUUUUGAAUUAUGGGGGGUUACAGGUUAAUUUGAUAGUGUUAUUCCCUCUUAAUUGUAGUCUAAUGUCACUGUGGAAUGAAGGAAGAGAUCUAUUGUAAUCUUAUUGUUUUAUUGGUUUGUUUUAAUAGUAUCUACACCAGUUGACUGUUGUAAGCUGCCCUGAGCCGGUAUGGAAAGGGCAGUUUGUGAAUUAAAUUAAAUACACAAAUAAAUAAAUAAAUAAUGA